GUCGAGUAUGAACAAUAGAUGUUAAAUGGCAUUCUCAUCCAAUACAGGAUGAGAAAGCACUGUCCAUACUUCCGGCCUCAGAGGAUUCUGGCGAGGAUGUGGUUGUUACAAAAAGAAUUGGAUGUUACUCGACUGUUCCACCACAACAGUCAGUAACCCAAAACUGCAGAAUCCUCACCCAUGUUGGCUGAAAAGGGCGUAUGCGCCGAACUUGGCGCGAGCGCUGAGCUUCGCGCUUGCGCAACCGCCGGUUGGUGUCGAAAAUCCAAAUGGGCGGAGGCUCGGUCUCAACUGGAUCCUUGAACACCCGCACGUCGAUGUCUUCGGAGAAGGUAACGUGCCCGGACACGCGGGAUGUAAUGCACAGUCACCAGCGGAUCCGAAAAAGUCACUUGCCGUGUGACUGUAGACUUUUCACGAGGUGCCGACACUUCCUCUUUCGGCGACUCCGGUGUCUUCUUGUCUCCAAAGAGGCGAUGCAACCUGCCGAAACGCUGUGCAGAGGAAAAAUAUGUUAGAUAUUGUGUCCUCAUGAUUGAUCACAUUAAUACUAAAUUUCUAAGAUAUAAUAGUGAGGAGUGUUAAGAGUGCUU
rnacentral:lncRNA from 1 species